rnacentral:lncRNA from 1 species
GAUUUACCUGUGUUUGUGUACCUGCUAUUUGAUAGGCAUGUCACUCAGGGCCAUUUUCAGCUUCUGGAUAUUAUAAAGCACAUUUUGACCUCUAGAAACCUAUUCCUGCAGUUCACAUCAG